UAACACAUGCAAGUCGAGGGGUAACGACAGCGAAAGCUUGCUUUUGCUGGGCGACGACCGGCGCACGGGUGAGUAACGCGUAUCCAACCUGCCCAUAACUAAGGGAUAAUCCGUAGAAAUGCGGUCUAAUACCUUAUGUGUUCCGAAGAAGACAUCUGAAUUGGAAUAAAGAUUUAUCGGUUAUGGAUGGGGAUGCGUCUGAUUAGAUUGUUGGCGGGCAACGGCCCACCAAGUCUACGAUCAGUAGGGGUUCUGAGAGGAAGGUCCCCCACAUUGGAACUGAGACACGGUCCAAACUCCUACGGGAGGCAGCAGUGAGGAAUAUUGGUCAAUGGGCGAGAGCCUGAACCAGCCAAGUAGCGUGCAGGAUGACGGCCCUAUGGGUUGUAAACUGCUUUUGUACGGGAGUAAAGUAGAGUCACCGUGUGGCGUUAUUUGCGACGGUACCGUACGAAUAAGGACCGGCUAAUUCCGUGCC
rnacentral:rRNA from 1 species